rnacentral:rRNA from 2 species
AGUAAUGUAUAGGAAUCUACCUAGUAGUACGGAAUAAUUGUUGGAAACGGCAACUAAUACCGUAUACGCCCUACGGGGGAAAAAUUUAUUGCUAUUAGAUGAGCCUAUAUUAGAUUAGUUAGUUGGUGAGGUAAAGGCUUACCAAGACAAUGAUCUAUAGCUGAUCUGAGAGGAUGAUCAGCCACACUGGAACUGAGAUACGGUCCAGACUCCUACGGGAGGCAGCAGUGGGGAAUAUUGGACAAUGGGCGAAAGCCUGAUCCAGCCAUGCCGCAUGAGUGAAGAAGGCCUUCGGGUUGUAAAGCUCUUUUAGUGAGGAAGAUAAUGACGGUACUCACAGAAGAAGNC